rnacentral:sRNA from 1 species
CCAAUUGUAUAGAUGCCUAGGACAUAAAUGGUGGGGAUCGCUAUUGAAAUUAAAUUAAUUAUUACAAGUAGGACUCAGUUCUGUAACACAUCUAAUGAUAUGUUUUGAUACAGAUGCAUCCAAGAAGUCAGAUUCAAAUCCGCUGACUGAAAUACUUAAGUGUCCUACUAAAGUGGUCCUACUAAGGAACAUGGUUGGUGCAGGAGAGGUGGAUGAAGACUUGGAAGUUGAAACCAAGGAAGAAUGUGAAAAAUAUGGCAAAGUUGGAAAAUGUGUGAUAUUUGAAAUUCCUGGUGCCCCUGAUGAUGAAGCAGUACGGAUAUUUUUAGAAUUUGAGAGAGUUGAAUCAGCAAUUAAAGGUUAGUUGUACAGCUAAAUAUUAAAGAAUAAAAAAGUUGAAUUUACAGCCUUAAUCUUUACAAGUAAAGUUACUGUUUAAAGUUAAACCUUUAUCUUAUAGGAUACCUAUAUUAACUGUCUUUUGUUUGCCUUUCAGCGGUUGUUGACUUGAAUGGGAGGUAUUUUGGUGGACGGGUGGUAAAAGCAUGUUUCUACAAUUUGGACAAAUUCAGGGUCUUGGAUUUGGCAGAACAAGUUUGAUUUUAAGAACUAGAGCACGAGUCAUCUCCGGUGAUCCUUAAGUGAACUGCAGGCUGAGAAAAGAAGGAAAAAGGUCACAGCCUCAUGGCUGUUGCAUACCAAGACUCUUGGAAGGACUUCUAAGAUAUAUGUUGAUUGAUCCCUUUUUUAUUUUGUGGUUUUUUAAUAUAGUAUAAAAAUCCUUUUAAAAAAACAACAAUCUGUGUGCCUCUCUGGUUGUUUCUCUUUUUUAUUACUACUCCUGAGUUAAUGACAUUUUUUGUUAGAUUUCAUGGUA